GCCGGGCGUGGUGGCGCACGCCUGUAGUCCCAGCUACUCAGGAGGCUGAGGAAGGAGAAUCGCUUGAAUCCAGGAGGCAGAGGUUGCAGUGAGUCUGCCACUGCACUCCAGCCUGGGUGACAGAGUGAGACUUUGUCUCAA
ensembl:misc_RNA Metazoa_SRP Metazoan signal recognition particle RNA